rfam:Pluralibacter gergoviae strain JS81F13 contig_25, whole genome shotgun sequence.
CCCGCUGAACUACUCGCACCUUAUACCGGCGAUAUCGUCGCCGAAGGCGUCAGUAAAACCCUGCGCGGCGGCGCGCAUUUCCUGCUGCGCGGCUUUCAGCGCCAGCAGCGCUACGUUGCCGAAGCGCUCACCGAAGAGUGGCGCAUGGCGCCCGGUCCGCUUGAGGUGGCCUGGUUUGCCGAAGAGAGCGCCGCCAUUGCGCGCGACGUUGACGCGCUGGCCAGGCGACUGGAAAAACUGGAGGGCAAAUGA